AGUGAACGCUGGCGGUAGGCCUAACACAUGCAAGUCGAACGGCAGCACAGUAAGAGCUUGUUCUUACGGGUGGCGAGUGGCGGACGGGUGAGGAAUACAUCGGAAUCUACUUUUUCGUGGGGAUAACGUAGGGAAACUAACGCUAAUACCGCAUACGACCUACGGGUGAAAGCAGGGGAUCUUCGGCCCUUGCGCGAUUGAAUGAGCCGAUGUCGGAUUAGCUAGUUGGCGGGGUAAAGGCCCACCAAGGCGACGAUCCGUAGCUGGUCUGAGAGGGUGAUCAGCCACACUGGAACUGAGACACGGUCCAGACUCCUACGGGAGGCAGCAGUGGGGAAUAUUCGACAAUGGGCGCAAGCCUGAUCCAGCCAUACCGCGUGGGUGAAGAAGGCCUUCGGGUUGUAAAGCCCUUUUGUUGGGAAAGAAAAGCAGCAGGUUAAUACCCCGCUGUUCUGACGGUACCUAAAGAAUAAGCACCGGCUAACUUCGUG
rnacentral:rRNA from 1 species